rnacentral:rRNA from 1 species
CCUACGGGUGGCAGCAGUGGGGAAUAUUGGACAAUGGGGGGAACCCUGACCCAGCGACGCCGCGUGAGUGAAGAAGUAUUUCGGUAUGUAAAGCUCUAUCAGCAGGGAAGAAAGAAAUGACGGUACCUGACUAUGAAGCCCCGGCUAACUACGUGCCAGCAGCCGCGGUAAUACGUAGGGGGCAAGCGUUAUCCGGAUUUACUGGGUGUAAAGGGGGCGUAGACGGCGAUGCAAGUCUGAAGUGAAAGGCGGGGGCCCAACCCCCGGACUGCUUUGGAAACUGUAUGGCUGGAGUGCAGGAGAGGUAAGUGGAAUUCCUAGUGUAGCGGUGAAAUGCGUAGAUAUUAGGAGGAACACCAGUGGCGAAGGCGGCUUACUGGACUGUAACUGACGUUGAGGCUCGAAAGCGUGGGGAGCAAACAGGAUUAGAUACCCUUGUAGUC